rnacentral:rRNA from 1 species
UCGAACGUAAGAUGACUGUAGGUGAAAGUCUUACAUCUCUUCGGAGCAUUUUACGAGGUGCUGCAUGGUGUCGUCAGCUCGUGCCGUGAGGUGUCGGGUUAAGUCCCAUAACGAGCGCAACCCUACCUUUAGUUGCCAUCAGGUAAUGCUGGGGACUCUAAAGGAACUGCCUACGCAAGUAGUGAGGAAGGCGGGGAUGACGUCAAAUCAGCACGGCCCUUACGUCCAGGGCUACACACGUGCUACAAUGGCCGAUACAGAGGGCAGCUACCUGGUGACAGGAUGCAAAUCUCCAAAGUCGGUCUCAGUUCGGAUCGGAGUCUGCAACCCGACUCCGUGAAGUUGGAUUCGCUAGUAAUCGCGCAUCAGCCAUGGCGCGGUGAAUACGUUCCCGGGCCUU